rnacentral:rRNA from 1 species
UACGUAGGGUGCGAGCGUUGUCCGGAAUUACUGGGCGUAAAGAGCUCGUAGGUGGUUUGUCGCGUUGUUCGUGAAAUCUCACGGCUUAACUGUGAGCGUGCGGGCGAUACGGGCAGACUUGAGUACUGCAGGGGAGACUGGAAUUCCUGGUGUAGCGGUGGAAUGCGCAGAUAUCAGGAGGAACACCGGUGGCGAAGGCGGCUCACUGGUCCGGUACUGACGCUGAUGUGCGAAAGCGUGGGGAGCAAACAGG